UCAAACUUGGUCAUUUAGAGGAAGUAAAAGUCGUAACAAGGUUUCCGUAGGUGAACCUGCGGAAGGAUCAUUAAGAAUGUAAACAAAACUUGCAAGGCGGACAAGGUUAAAAAGGGAAAAGGGGGGUGGUUGUUGGGUAGGAGGGGAGGGGGGGGAGAGGGGGAGAGAGGGAGUCUUUGUUUCUCUCUCUCUCUCUCUCUGUCUCCCUCCCUCUCUCCCUCCCUCCUUCCAUCUCUCUUUCCCCCAACACCAACUAUUACUACUAUUAAACUGCCAAUCAAGAAUUCAUUAACUAGUAAAACUUGCAACAAUGGAUCUCUUGGCUCUUGCAUCGAUGAAGAACGCAGC
rnacentral:misc_RNA from 1 species